UCUUUCUGAUUCUCGAAGAAUGAGGGGGCAAAAAAAGGAUUGGUCGAGAAAGAUUUAUUGUUCUUAUUAUAAGAUCGUGAUUGGAUCCACAUAUGUUUGGUAAAAAGAAUAAGCCCCUAAAUGACCGCUCUAUGAUAAAUGAGGUAGGGGUGUAGAGACAGCCAGGAGGUUUGCCUAGAAGAAGCCACCCUUGAAGGAGUGCGUAAUAGCUCACUGAUCGAGCGCUCUUACGCCGAAGAUGAACGGAGCUAAGCGAUAUGCUAAAACUGUAGGAUGUAAAAAUUUAUCGGUAGGGGAGCGUUCCGCCUUAGAGGGAAGGACCCGCACGAGCAGUGGUGGACGAAGCGGAAGCG
rfam:Lupinus angustifolius cultivar Tanjil contig_45379, whole genome shotgun sequence.